AGGGGCGUGGUGAAGUGGCAUCACAGGGGUCUCCAAAACCUCUAUCGCGGGUUCGAUUCCUGCCGCCCCUGCCA
rnacentral:tRNA from 1 species